rnacentral:tRNA from 1 species
GGUGUUGUGGCUCAGUGGUAGAGCACUUGUCUCAUAUGAGUGGGGCACUGGGUUCGAUCCUCAGCACCA